rnacentral:rRNA from 1 species
CGUACACUCCUGCGGGAGGCAGCAGUGAGGAAUAUUGGACAAUGGGUGGAAGCCUGAUCCAGCCAUCCCGCGUGCAGGAAGACGGCCCUAUGGGUUGUAAACUGCUUUUAUCUGGGGAUAAACCUACUUACGUGUAAGUAGCUGAAGGUACCAGAAGAAUAAGCACCGGCUAACUCCGUGCCAGCAGCCGCGGUAAUAAGGAGGGUGCAAGCGUUAUCCGGAUUUAUUGGGUUUAAAGGGUCCGUAGGCGGACUGAUAAGUCAGUGGUGAAAUCCGACAGCUUAACUGUCGAACUGCCAUUGAUACUGUUAGUCUUGAGUAAGGUUGAAGUGGCUGGAAUAAGUAGUGUAGCGGUGAAAUGCAUAGAUAUUACUUAGAACACCAAUUGCGAAGGCAGGUCACUAAGUCUUAACUGACGCUGAUGGACGAAAGCGUGGGGAGCGAACAGGAUUAGAUACCCCUGUAGUCCCAUGAU